GCUUAACACAUGCAAGUCUUUGGCGAAGCUGUGCUUGCACAGCCUAGCCAGGCGGACGGGUGAGUAACGCGUAAGGAACUUGCCCUGCAGUCAGGGAUAACAGACGGAAACGACUGAUAAGACCUGGUAAAGUCAGGCGGACUCAUGUCCAGCCUGAUGAAAAGUGAUGCUGCAGGAGAGCCUUGCGUCCUAUUAGCUUGUUGGUGGGGUAACAGCCCACCAAGGCAAUGAUAGGUAGCCGGCCUGAGAGGGUGGACGGCCACAAGGGGACUGAGAUACGGCCCUUACUCCUACGGGAGGCAGCAGUGGGGAAUAUUGGACAAUGGGGGCAACCCUGAUCCAGCAAUUCUGUGUGCACGAUGAAGGUUUUCGGAUCGUAAAGUGCUUUCAGCAGGGAAGAAAAAAAUGACGGUACCUGCAGAAGAAGCGACGGCUAAAUACGUGCCAGCAGCCGCGGUAAUACGUAUGUCGCAAGCGUUAUCCGGAAUUAUUGGGCAUAAAGGGCAUCUAGGCGGCCAGAUAAGUCUGGGGUGAAAACUUGCGGCUCAACCGCAAGCCUGCCCUGGAAACUAUGUGGCUAGAGUACUGGAGAGGUGGACGGAACUGCACGAGUAGAGGUG
rnacentral:rRNA from 1 species